rnacentral:rRNA from 1 species
GUGGGGAAUUUUGGACAAUGGGCGCAAGCCUGAUCCAGCAAUGCCGCGUGCAGGAAGAAGGCCUUCGGGUUGUAAACUGCUUUUGUACGGAACGAAACGGUCCUGGUUAAUACCUGGGGCUAAUGACGGUACCGUAAGAAUAAGCACCGGCUAACUACGUGCCAGCAGCCGCGGUAAUACGUAGGGUGCGAGCGUUAAUCGGAAUUACUGGGCGUAAAGCGUGCGCAGGCGGUGCUGUAAGACAGGCGUGAAAUCCCCGGGCUCAACCUGGGAAUUGCGCUUGUGACUGCAGUGCUGGAGUACGGCAGAGGGGGAUGGAAUUCCGCGUGUAGCAGUGAAAUGCGUAGAUAUGCGGAGGAACACCGAUGGCGAAGGCAGUCCCCUGGGCCUGUACUGACGCUCAUGCACGAAAGCGUGGGAGCAAACAGGAUUAGAUACCCUUGUAGUCC